rnacentral:lncRNA from 1 species
UCCCUAGUUUGGGUUAUGCUGGGUUCCCGAAAAAUUUCUUUUUGGGUUCCUUCCUUAGCCUUUGGCGCCUUUCUCUUCUCUUGAUGCUUGUUCGGGUCCUUUGGGUUGGUGCCCCUUCGUGUUUGGCAUGUUGUUUUCAGCCUGUACUCUGCUGAUUUUAUGUUUCUGUUUCUUUUGGGGAGCUUGUUCCCUUUUAGAAUUUAUGUAUAUAUCCUGUGCUCUGCUGGUUUCCAGCCUGUUCCGCAAGCCUGUCUUGCAAACAUUUUUGAUUCAAUAUACUUCUUACAUUUGAUCAAAAAAAAGAAAGAGCUCUCAGUC